CUGUAACUAAAAUAAACAACCAGUAGUGGCUGGGUUAAUAAAACAUGCCACAAACCCUUCUAAUGCUAAACCAUAUUCGAUUAAGCAAAGAUACAAUGUUUAAAAUAACUUGCAUUAUUUGGCUAUUUCCCUUGUUGCAAGAUUAAUCUGGAUAAUCAGCUGUUAUGCUCUUAUAUUCGUGUCCAACAGAUUUCAUAUGUAGGUCACACCACAUUUGCAAAUUACAUUUUAGCAACCUUCUUUUUUUUUUUUAUAUCACGGACAAAUUGCUGAUACAGGGAAACAAAUGGCAUGAUUGUUUUAGUAAUUAUAAUGUUUCAGUGCAUAAUAGGGGUAGGCCUCAUGAUGGAGGCAGCCAUGACAGGGGCGGGGAAGGAAAUGACAGCAAGGGAGGAAGUGAGAGGGGUGACGUCCAUGAUAUGUGUGGGAAAGGAAGACCGGAUGUGUGGGCAUGGUAAGGGCGGAAGUGACGUUACUUUAGAAGCAACCGUGACUGUGGAUAGGUCACGG